ensembl:antisense Gm15597 predicted gene 15597
ACUCAGCCUGGCAUUCCUGCUUCAGAAUGAAAUGAACAGCACACCUCUCAACUUCACACGGUGGCAUGGGCCCACGCUCCUCCAUCUAGAAAGAAAGGACAGCCCACACCAGAAAAUAAUUUUAUGGUUGGAGGUCACUGUGACCAACAUGAAGAACUAUGUUAAAGGGUCGCAGCACUGAAGGAUUGGAACCACUGGUCUAAAGCCUUCUCAAAAGAAGCACAGCACUUCUCCUUGCAGCCUUCUAUAGUCCUCGCUCUGGAUGGCCGAGGUUGGCAGACUCGCAGCUUUCAAAGCAGUACCACGGUGUGUAACAGCUGCUAGUGGAGGAGGUGAGACAUUGUCACACAGUUAGAGAGGACACCACCUUCCCAGCUAGAUGGUGUCCCUACAGAGAGCUAUUUUGCUUCUAGAUUAUAAAUUUACAGGAAGCAACCAGUCGCAAUCCACCCUUCGGGAGGGGAAGCCUCAUGUACAAGAACAGAGGGACGCUCAUCACGCUGAUGGGCAGACAGAGUGAAUCCAGCUUGGGCAACCGUGGCACCUGCAUGAGAAACGCAAGAAGACAACAGUCUCUGUGGACAGACCGUCACAGAAGGUACCGAAUCAACUCUAUUUUUCACACCAAAUAGGAAAGAAAGAGUUUGCAUUACACAAAUUUUAACAUGCUCAGUGGUGCGACACCACCUCAGAGAGGAGACGCUGUUACCCCGGAAUCAGGAUGGAAGCUCUCUGCCUGACUUGUCAGUUCUAAACUCCUGCCUCCAGUUCACUAUCUACCUCAAUCCUUAGAGACUUAAAUGUAGGUUCAUAAACCUUCUGAAACCCUUAGAAAGUCUAUGGAUGCCACAAAGUCCCCAUGAUUUGUCCGUUUCAGCUGCUAAUCCCCAUGCCUUUAAAAACACAUGUCUAACAAUUACUGGUUAAGAAACAGUAACUAAUGAAAGCCAAAACAUUAUGUUCCAAACUAUAAUAUGAACAUUAUAGUUCAUAUAAUUUCAAGAACUAUCAUUUCUAAGCCUUUUAAGAUCAAGUGUAAAUUAUAAUAUG